rnacentral:rRNA from 1 species
AACGAACGCUGGCGGCAUGCCUAACACAUGCAAGUCGAACGAGACCUUCGGGUCUAGUGGCGCACGGGUGCGUAACGCGUGGGAACCUGCCCUUAGGUUCGGAAUAACUCCCCGAAAGGGGUGCUAAUACCGGAUAAUGUCUUCGGACCAAAGAUUUAUCGCCUUUGGAUGGGCCCGCGUUGGAUUAGCUAGUUGGUAGGGUAAAAGCCUACCAAGGCGACGAUCCAUAGCUGGUCUGAGAGGAUGAUCAGCCACACUGGGACUGAGACACGGCCCAGACUCCUACGGGAGGCAGCAGUGGGGAAUAAUGGACAAUGGGCGAAAGGCUGAUCCAGCAAUGCCGCGUGAGUGAUGAAGGCCUUAGGGUUGUAAAGCUCUUUUACCCGGGAUGAUAAUGACAGGACCGGGAGAAUAAGCUCCGGCUAACUCCGUG